GUCUGGUCGUGAUAGGCCUCGAGCAUAUUCUCGUAAAACUUCUACAAUGUUUCAGGCAAACAUUAUGGAUUUGUCGAUGAAAGGACAUUAGUGAAAGCAGACAAGUUAAAAAGCGGUAAGUUCGGCCGGGCCGAACAUUGAAUACCCUCCACCAUUUGAAACGAAUUUGGAAGUUUUAAAAAAUAAAAUGCUUUAAAAAUUCUGUUUAAAUCUUAAAAAUACCGAAUAAAUCCAUUACAUUGGGGUCUUUACGACGUGAACCUAUA